UGGUGACUAUAGCAAGGAGGUCACACCUGUUCCCAUGCCGAACACAGAAGUUAAGCUCCGGCUUGACGAAGUGAAAACGUUUGAAUCUGACGAAACGAGAAAAGAGGUUUUGGAAAGUG
rnacentral:rRNA from 1 species